rnacentral:rRNA from 1 species
UACGAAGGGUGCAAGCGUUACUCGGAAUUACUGGGCGUAAAGCGUGCGUAGGUGGUGAGUUAAGUCUGUCGUGAAAGCCCCGGGCUCAACCCUGGAACGGCAUCCGAAACUAUCUGGCUAGAGUCCUGGAGAGGAAGGCAGAAUUCCCGGUGUAGGGGUGAAAUCCGUAGAUACCGGGAGGAAUACCAGUAGCGAAGGCGGCCUUCUGGACAGUGACUGACGCUCAGACGCGAAAGCGUGGGGAGCAAACAGGG